AUGAAGCGGGUCAAACGGAGCAAGUACGGAAAGAAAAGCGAGGCAUGGAUGCAAGAUAAAGUAGCUUAUGAAUUAGCGUUGCUAUGAAUUAGCAAAUUUUCGAGACAAGGUAUUAAAACGGGUCAAUGUAUUGAUCCGAGCCAGGUACGUGUAAUUAUGUUAUAGUUAAAAGUGAUUAAAGCAUGGAUAUUGCUUCGUAACAUGAUU
rnacentral:lncRNA from 1 species